rnacentral:rRNA from 1 species
AUCUAUGGCCAUGCCACCCUGAACAAGCUUGAUCCUGUCUGAUCUUGGAAGCUAAGCAGGGUCGGGUUUGAUUAGUACUUGGAUGGGAGACCACCUAGGAAGACCAGGUGCUAUAGGCG